rnacentral:rRNA from 1 species
AUUAUGGAGAGUUUGAUCCUGGCUCAGAAUGAACGCUGGCGGCGUGCUUAACACAUGCAAGUCGAACGAUGAAGAAGAGCUUGCUCUUUGGAUUAGUGGCGCACGGGUGAGUAAUAUAUAGAUAACGUGCCUCUUAGUCUGGGAUAGCCAUUGGAAACGAUGAUUAAUACUAGAUACUCCUUCUCUUUAUAAUGAGAGUUGGGAAAGUUUUUCGCUAAGAGAUCGGUCUAUAUCCCAUCAGCUAGUUGGUAGUGUAAGAGACUACCAAGGCAAUGACGGGUAGCGGGUUUGAGAGGAUGAUCCGCCACACUGGUACUGAGACACGGACCAGACUCCUACGGGAGGCAGCAGUGAGGAAUAUUGCACAAUGG